UCUUGUUAUGGCGCAUCCUUUGUCUUGGUCAGACCUACCUCCGGAACUCCUAGGCCUUGUCCUCAAGCGCCUUCCAAACCUAGCUGAUCGUGUUCGGUUGAGAGCAGUCUGCCACCCAUGGUGCUCAAAUGCUCUGUUGCAACCCCUACCUCCUCCGCUCCCAUGGCUUGCCCUCCUCCGCUCCCAUGGCUUGCCCUCCUCGAUGGGACUUUCCUGAGCAUACCAGAUGGUGAAAUUAUCGAAAUGCCUGUACCAGAUGAUGCUUGUUGCUAUGGCUCUGUUGACAACUGGCUCUUCCUUGUGGACAGUGAUGGUCAGUGCUCACUGAUGAACCCUUUUUUGAGGACACACUAAAGCUUCCUGGCCUAGCCACUGGUUGGCAUAUACGGUUGCCUGGUUCCUCUGAGUUCAACCCUGAUUUCUGCAAGUUGGCGGUUCCCUCACCCCUGGAGCCGCCACUGGUUCCUCUCAUUGCCAUCAGGCAUGAGUCGUGGGGUCUUUGUAUUUUCCAGCCACCAGAUGUUACUGACACAAUCCAAGGGAGCCGUUAGAACCCCUAUAAGAGAUUUCAUUCUUUGGUGGAAAGUUGUAUGCAAUUGAUUGCUUCAGGAAGCUCGUAAACAUUGAGCUUGUCGAGGGCCUUGGACACAUGCCUACAUCCAGUGAUGAGGCGUAUAUAGUCAAGCCAUACCUUGUUGAAUGUGCUGGAAAAUUGUUGAUGGUGAGACGAUGGAUUCGUGGCUUACACCCUGCGCUGUGUAUCGUUUAUGAUCAUACUAUUGCAUUUGAUAUCUUUGAGGAAAACUUGAGCAGCAAGCCUUGUCGAUGGAGAGGUGUCAACGAUUUGGGUGGCCAUGCUCUCUUUGUCAGCUCCAGUUCCUCCAAAUCUUUUCCAGCUGGAGAAGGCAGUGGAGUUCAAGAGAAUUGCAUCUACUUCAUGAAUGAGUUUUCUGGGCUGAAACUGUUUGCAGAUCCUCUUCAUGACUCUGGUGUGUACAACAUGAAAAAGGGAGUGAUCAAUCCUUUGCUGUCAGAGACUGCAGUAGUGUCGUCAAAUCAUGUUGGUCCGUGGCGUCCAACAUGGCUCUUCCCAACUCAAGCAAUGUGAUAGGCUGCCUGGUAUAAGUUCCUUUGCUGUGGGAUUCCCUCUGUUCGGCUGGUAAAAAACCGGCUGAUUUCGGCUGAUUCAAUAAUGUUCUGUGAGAGAUAAUAAUCGAAAUAAGCUGAAACAAGCCGAACAAAGGGAUUGUACUGGUCUCUGCUUAUCUGCUAUCGGUAAACUUUUGUUGAAUGUUAUUGUUAUGUUAAUAAUAAGGUCUCUUAGUAAACUGUUGAAACUGCAUGAGCAUUUCUAUUGUUUCUUUAUUUUCAAAUUUCCAACACUGUCAAUUAAACCAGGCCUUUGCUUUGUCAUCCUAA